rnacentral:rRNA from 1 species
AUGAACGCUAGCUACAGGCUUAACACAUGCAAGUCGAGGGGCAGCAUUUUAGUUUGCUUGCAAACUGAAGAUGGCGACCGGCGCACGGGUGAGUAACACGUAUCCAACCUGCCGAUAACUCCGGAAUAGCCUUUCGAAAGAAAGAUUAAUACCGGAUAGCAUACGAAUAUCGCAUGAUAUUUUUAUUAAAGAAUUUCGGUUAUCGAUGGGGAUGCGUUCCAUUAGUUUGUUGGCGGGGUAACGGCCCACCAAGACUACGAUGGAUAGGGGUUCUGAGAGGAAGGUCCCCCACAUUGGAACUGAGACACGGUCCAAACUCCUACGGGAGGCAGCAGUGAGGAAUAUUGGUCAAUGGGCGAGAGCCUGAACCAGCCAAGUAGCGUGAAGGAUGAAGGCUCUAUGGGUCGUAAACUUCUUUUAUAUGGGAAUAAAGUUUUCCACGUGUGGAAUUUUGUAUGUACCAUAUGAAUAAGGAUCGGCUAACUCCGUGCCAGCAGCCGCGGUAAUACGGAGGAUCCGAGCGUUAUCCGGAUUUAUUGGGUUUAAAGGGAGCGUAGGUGGAUUGUUAAGUCAGUUGUGAAAGUUUGCGGCUCAACCGUAAAAUUGCAGUUGAAACUGGCAGUCUUGAGUACAGUAGAGGUGGGCGGAAUUCGUGGUGUAGCGGUGAAAUGCUUAGAUAUCACGAAGAACUCCGAUUGCGAAGGCAGCUCACUAGACUGUCACUGACACUGAUGCUCGAAAGUGUGGGUAUCAAACAGGAUUAGAUACCCUGGUAGUCCACACAGUAAACGAUGAAUACUCGCUGUUUGCGAUAUACAGUAAGCGGCCAAGCGAAAGCAUUAAGUAUUCCACCUGGGGAGUACGCCGGCAACGGUGAAACUCAAAGGAAUUGACGGGGGCCCGCACAAGCGGUGGAGCAUGUGGUUUAAUUCGAAGCAACGCGAAGAACCUUACCAAGACUUGACAUCCUCUUGACCGGAUAUGUAAUGUAUCCUUUCUCUUCGGAGACAGGAGUGACAGGUGGUGCAUGGUUGUCGUCAGCUCGUGCCGUGAGGUGUCGGCUUAAGUGCCAUAACGAGCGCAACCAUUAUCUUUAGUUACUAACAGGUUAUGCUGAGGACUCUAGAGAGACUGCCGUCGUAAGAUGUGAGGAAGGUGGGGAUGACGUCAAAUCAGCACGGCCCUUACGUCCGGGGCUACACACGUGUUACGAUGGGGGGUACAGAAGGCGGCUACCUGGUGACAGGAUGCUAAUCCCAAAAACCUCUCUCAGUUCGGAUCGAAGUCUGCAACCCGACUUCGUGAAGCUGGAUUCGCUAGUAAUCGCGCAUCAGCCAUGGCGCGGUGAAUACGUUCCCGGGCCUUGUACACACCGCCCGUCAAGCCAUGAAAGCCGGGGGUACCUGAAGUACGUAACCGCAAGGAGCGUCCUAGGGUAAAACUGGUAAUUGGGGCU